UCGAUGACGGCAACUCAAACGAACAAAAGCUGUCAGUGCAACAUGGCGUGCGAAUGGGUGAGAACACCUAUAGGCUGGAUGAUUACGGCUCGUGACGACUACUGUUUAACAGCGAAGCCAACGUCACCCCCCCCCCCCUCCUCUCAGCGUUCAACAUCUGGGGGUAAUAAGCCGCUCCCGCCCUGGGACGUUUUCCUUAUGUCUGCUGGAUCGCACGCUCUGGCGGACCAUGGCGGCGCUUGCUGACUUCAUCGUGGAAGCGGUGAGUCAGCGCCAGGGCUAGAAGAAAAGUCCUGUGGUCUGUGUAAAAGGGCAGCAGGACGCAACGGGGACGGUUUGGCUUCAACCGCAGUGAAAACCUGCUCAACAAGCAGGUCGAGAGCAAGCUUGUUUAUUAGUCUUUUACCUGCAGGCAGUUCUUAUUCACUGCAGAGGUGGGAGAGGCCAGGACGAACUCCAAUGAGAAUGGACAGCGAUUGUGGUCUCUGAAAUGCCCAAAAAGCAAUAAAAGCGGAAGAUGCACAAGGAA